rnacentral:rRNA from 1 species
ACUACGGGAGGCAGCAGUGAGGAAUAUUGGUCAAUGGGCGGAAGCCUGAACCAGCCAAGUAGCGUGCAGGAUGACGGCCCUACGGGUUGUAAACUGCUUUUAUACGGGAAUAACGCGCCUUACGUGUAGGGCUUUGCAUGUACCGUAUGAAUAAGGACCGGCUAAUUCCGUGCCAGCAGCCGCGGUAAUACGGAAGGUCCGGGCGUUAUCCGGAUUUAUUGGGUGUAAAGGGAGCGUAGGCCGCAUGUCAAGCGUGCUGUGAAAUGUCCGGGCUCAACCCGGGCCUUGCAGCGCGAACUGGCGUGCUUGAGUCCGCGGAAAGCAGGCGGAAUUCGUCGUGUAGCGGUGAAAUGCUUAGAUAUGACGAAGAACCCCGAUUGCGAAGGCAGCUUGCUGCAGCGGAACUGACGCUGAUGCUCGAAAGCGCGGGUAUCGAACAGGAUUAGAUACCCCAGUAGUC